CACAAUCCGAAGCAGGCUCCAGGCUGUGAGCUGUCGUCACACAGACCAAUGCGGGGCUCGAACUCACGGACCGCGAGAUCGUGACCUGAGCUGCAGUCGGACGCUUAACCCACUGAGCCACCCAGGGACCCUGGCUGUCCCCACUUUAAUUUCAGCGGGUCCCAGUCAACCUCAGGCGGGACUCACACUCGCUUGGCUCCCAGGGCUGGUGGGGUUAGAACGUGGGCCCCCUCCCUCCAGAAGUCCCCUGGGGACAAAGGCCACGUCCCUCCGCUCACCUGCGUUCCAGGCACCUGCAUGGUUCCGGGGGGCGCUCAGUGCCAGCCACGGGAGGGGUGAGAAUCGCCCCCAGAGGCGGCCGCGGCCCGGACGGUAGCCUCUUGCCCUCCUGGGGACGCUCCUGGGGACGGCUGGGCGGGCUGUCAACCCCAGUGGCUCCUGCCCUUCCCCUCUCCCGGCUCCGACUGCUCACCACACGCACCUCCCAGAGGGAACGCGUUGUCGACACAGCAGUUCAGUCCCACGGGCAUUUAGGGCCUCAAGCCAGUGACUGGGGCAGACGAUGUGGCCACAGCAACCACUUCGGAACUUUUCAGGAGCCUUCAACGAGCCCUUAACACACUCCCUGGGUCUAAGAGACAUCCUGCCGGAGAGACGAGACUAACAUGCCAAAAAUACUGCACGAAAUGAGACAGCACACAGGAGCUGCACGAAUGCGUUCGGCGUCCCGGUUCAGAGCUGUGUUUCGUCGUGAGGUGUUUUACAACUGGGAUUUCUCCUUCUAGCACAGAAGCGUACAAGUCCUUUUCUAGAAUUCAUUUUGCUUUUAUUCACUUAUAUCUUCACACUCUUUAUUGAAUUUACAAAUAACGAAGUUGCACGUCUCUUAAAAUAGUUUCUAAAUCAGAAUUGUAACCCAUUACGUGGGCCUUGCCCCUGUAAAUUCUAACUUGAUGGCGUUUGAUUAUAAUUUGCUUUGUGUGUAGAAGUAGAUAAUUGGGGAAAACGGAUGUCUCCAAAUCAAGCCGGUUUUAGUCUUGAAAACUGUCUCACUGCAUCUUCUAACUUCGUGGAUCUGGAGGGUGCGUGUAAAUGGGCCAGCGACGUGUGGGAGAGCCAUCAGUCCCCAGUUGUAAGCGUGCCCCGGCCAUCAGUCCCCAGUUGUAAGCGUGCCCCAGCCAUCAGUCCCCAGUCGUAAGCGUGCCCCGGCCAUCAGUCCCCACUUGUAAGUGUGCCCCGGCCAUCAGUCCCCAGU
rnacentral:lncRNA from 1 species